rnacentral:rRNA from 1 species
CACGUAGUUAGCCGUGACUUUCUGGUUGGAUACCGUCACUGCGUGAACAGUUAUUCUCACGCACGUUCUUCUCCAACAACAGAGCUUUACGAGCCGAAACCCUUCUUCACUCACGCGGUGUUGCUCCAUCAGGCUUGCGCCCAUUGUGGAAGAUUCCCUACUGCUGCCUCCCGUAGGAGUAUGGACCGUGUCUCAGUUCCAUUGUGGCCGAUCAGUCUCUCAACUCGGCUAUGCAUCAUCGCCUUGGUAAGCCGUUACCUUACCAACUAGCUAAUGCACCGCAGGUCCAUCCCGGAGUGAUAGCCAAAGCCAUCUUUCAAACAAAGCCAUGUGGCUUUUGUUGUUAUGCGGUAUUAGCAUCUGUUUACCAAAUUGUUACUCCCCCGCGUCCGGGGCUAGGUUACCUACGUGUUACCUCACCCGUCCGCCACUCACUGGUGAUCCAAGUCAAUUCAAGUGCAAGCACCAUCAAUCAGUUCGGCCAGUCGCGUACGUAC